GGAGAAGUGUCUGAGCUGGUUUAAGGUGCCACUCUCGAAAAGUGGUGUGCGGGAAACCGUACCGCGGGUUCGAACCCCGCCUUCUCCG
rnacentral:tRNA from 1 species